rnacentral:rRNA from 1 species
AUUGUCCGCCAAGAACGCUUCGUUUUGAGUCCGGCUUGCAACUGUAUCCGUGAGCUCGUGGGGGAUGCAGGGGGUACCACACUCACGGGCUAAAUAGUAACGAGUGACAGAUAGCGUAUUGUAACGGGGGGGAUAGUAGCAAUGAAGCCAGGCAUGCGCGUGUACUAGAACCUGAAACCCUGGAUAUGCAUGCUGUGGAAAAACAUGUCUUGUUAGACGUCGUACUUUUUGUAGAACGGGAAAUCGAGUUACGUGAAGUAGCAAGGUUAAGCGCGUAAGGUGUGGGGCCGUAGCGAAAGCGAGUUUUAACUGAGCGUUCAGUUAC